CGGGUUUCCGUAGGUGAACCUGCGGAAGGAUCAUU
rnacentral:rRNA from 1 species